rnacentral:tRNA from 1 species
GAGGGUGUAGCUCAGUGGUAGAGUGUGUGCUUAGCACGCACAAGGUUCUGGGUUCAAUCCCCAGUCCCUCU